UUGACCUCAAAUCAGGUAGGACUACCCGCUGAACUUAAGCAUAUCAAUAAGCGGAGGAAAAGAAACUAACAAGGAUUCCCCUAGUAACUGCGAGUGAAGCGGGAAAAGCUCAAAUUUAAAAUCUGGCGGUCCUCGCGGCCGUCCGAGUUGUAAUCUGGAGAAGCGUUUUCCGCGUCGGACCGUGUACAAGUCUUCUGGAAUGGAGCGUCGUAGAGGGUGAGAAUCCCGUCUCUGACACGGACCGCCGAUGCUUUUGUGAUACGCUCUCGAAGAGUCGAGUUGUUUGGGAAUGCAGCUCAAAACGGGUGGUAAAUUCCAUCUAAAGCUAAAUAUUGGCGAGAGACCGAUAGCGAACAAGUACCGUGAGGGAAAGAUGAAAAGCACUUUGGAAAGAGAGUUAAACAGUACGUGAAAUUGUUGAAAGGGAAACGUUUGAAGUCAGUCGCGUCGGUCGAGACUCAACCUUGCUCUUUUGCUCGGCGCACUUCUCGGCCGACGGGUCAGCAUCAAUUUCGACCGUCGGAUAAAGGCCGAGGGAAUGUGGCAUCUUUCGGGAUGUGUUAUAGUCUUCGGUUCGCAUACGGCGAUCGGGAUUGAGGAACUCAGCGCGCCUUCAUCGGUCGGGGCUUCGGCUCACGUUAACGC
rnacentral:rRNA from 1 species